ACGAUUCUAUCGUGAAACCGCGAACGGCUCAUUAUAACAGCUAUAAUUUACUUGAUCUUGACUAUCCUACUUGGAUAACUGUGGUAAUUCUAGAGCUAAUACAUGCACCAAAGCCCUGACCUUACGGAAAGGGUGCAUUUAUUAGAACAAAACCAAGCGACUUCGGUCGUUUUUUGUUGACUCAGAAUAACUAAGCUGAUCGCAUGGUCUUGCACCGGCGACGUGUCUUUCAAGUAUCUGCCUUAUCAACUUUCGAUGGUAGUGUAUCUGACUACCAUGGUGGUGACGGGUAACGGAGGAUAAGGGUUUGACUCCGGAGAAGGGGCCUGAGAAAUGGCCACUACGUCUAAGGAUGGCAGCAGGCGCGCAAAUUACCCACUCUCAGAACGAGGAGGUAGUGACGAAAAAUAACGAGACCGUUCUCUAUGAGGCCGGUCAUCGGAAUGGGUACAAUCUAAACCCUUUAACGAGUAUCUAUGAGAGGGCAAGUCUGGUGCCAGCAGCCGCGGUAAUUCCAGCUCUCAAAAUGCAUAGAAUUAUUGCUGCGGUUAAAAAGCUCGUAGUUGGAUCUGUGCUGAGGACCUGGUCCACCUUCGGGUGCGUACUAGGAUCCACGGCUUUUCUGCCGGUUUUCCCGUCAUUGCUUUUAAAGGCUGUGGCGGGUGGCUGGUGAUUUUACUUUGAACAAAUCAGAGUGCUUCAAACAGGCGUUUAGCUUGAAUGUUUUUGCAUGGAAUAAUAGAAGAGGAUUUCGGUUCUAUUUUAUUGGUUUUAUAGACUGAAAUAAUGGUUAACAGAGACCAACGGGGGCAUUCGU
rnacentral:rRNA from 1 species